rnacentral:lncRNA from 1 species
AAGCAGAAAGUCCUUGCAGACCCUGAGUCCACAUUCCAUCAGGAUGAUGUCAUAGAAGACUGGAUCCAGGCGCCUCUUCCUUUGGGUCCCGUGACCACUCAGCGGAGGGAGAAGCUAACACUGUGAUGAGACGUGACUCGCCAGAGAGACAGGGGGGCUUUCUGCAUCUGAAUGUUCUUAGCCAUCGUACAUUUGAUUGAGCAUCUGUCUUGUGCUGGUUUUGAGCUGGGCCUGGAGUUCAAAGGUGGGCAAAAGCCCGUCCCUGCCCUUUAAGGAUCUCCCAGUCUAGCAGAAGAAAAUGGCUCGUCUGUAAAGACAACUCCCUGUGGUGAGUAUAGAAGCAGAGAGAAAUAAAAGAGGGCAGAGGAGGGGGUAACUAUUUAUG